rnacentral:tRNA from 1 species
GCACCAUUAGCUCAGUUGGUAGAGCAGCUGACUCUUAAUCAGCGGGUCCCAGGUUCGAGCCCUGGAUGGUGUA